rnacentral:rRNA from 1 species
AGCGAACGCUGGCGGCAGGCUUAACACAUGCAAGUCGAGCGGGCCCUUCGGGGUCAGCGGCGGACGGGUGAGUAACGCGUGGGAAUGUGCCUUCUGGUCUGGAAUAACCCUGGGAAACUAGUGCUAAUACCGGAUACGCCCUUUUGGGGAAAGGUUUACUGCCGGAAGAUCGGCCCGCGUCUGAUUAGCUAGUUGGUGGGGUAACGGCCUACCAAGGCGACGAUCAGUAGCUGGUCUGAGAGGAUGAUCAGCCACACUGGGACUGAGACACGGCCCAGACUCCUACGGGAGGCAGCAGUGGGGAAUAUUGGACAAUGGGCGCAAGCAUGAUCCAGCCAUGCCGCGUGAGUGAUGAAGGCCUUAGGGUUGUAAAGCUCUUUUAUCCGGGACGAUAAUGACGGUACCGGAGGAAUAAGCCCCGGCUAACUUCGUG